GCGCCGCGCAAGACACACUGCGAGAGCCGCUCUCUGGCUGCAGGCGGACUCACACACGUCCUUUGCCCGUGGAUCAUGUCCCACCGAGUCGCAGCUCUACGAUUGACUGCCUUUGCGGUUGUCAGCUGAUUAAACAUCACCUGUAGAAUGGAAAAGAAGACUUUUCUCAAGAUACUCAUCAAAGAUAUGCAGUGAACAAGUGGGCAAACAAGUCAAGCGUGUUUGCUGUUUUAUUGAAUUUUCUGACGCUAACUGAUGAACGGAACGAGAAAUCAAAGCAUAAACUCUCGUGACAUGAAAAUUGGACAGGGUUUAUGAAUAGAAAUAAAUCAAAAUCUCAACAAUGAAGUGAAUGGUGUUAUUGACGACACGUUAACUAACUGGAGGAGAUACAUGGAAUAACAUAAUCAGAUAAUUGAAAUCAUUUGAAUGUUUACACCAUGGGAAAAGAUUCACAAUGAGAAACAAUAAUCAGGGAUAAAGAACUAACUUAGAUUGUGAAGUGAAUAAAUAAAAGGAUGCAAUAUGCGAACUGAAAACCUACGCAGCACCGGCCUUUGUUCACCGAAAAUUGACCUAAUCGAUAUGGAACGUUUAUAAAAGACCAGUCGUUGGGUUGUUUGAAAAUAAACUACGCUGUCUUUCGUGACGUUCCACAAACGGGAAAUAUAUAUUUAUUUAUACAUUUUUUUUGGAUUUUAAGAGCACGUGAAAGAUCAAUAGACCCAGAACUUCUGAAGGAGCAUGAUCCCCUUAUCUCUUGUGGUGUUGGUGGUCGGGGCCGUGGUGGUGAUCGGCGGCCUCUGCCUCUGCUACUUCUUCUCCAUUAGGGCCAUGUGGCGCGGCGGAGGACGCCAGCCCGUCGCCCAUCCUGAGAUCACCUGAGACUACGUCCUCGGCGUGACCUCCUCCAGGGAUCACGUGACGCAGGUACAGGAGGAGGACGAGGUGUGAAGACAUCCCGGAUGCGCACUAAGGAUGUCCAUGAAGACUCUCGACCGGAAGGGGUGGGCGGAAGGAGGGCAGGAAAUGGCCGUCCUUGUCCUUGUGUUUAAGGGGAUGCAAGGAUGCCUCCCGACGGACCAGAAAAAGGUCAGUGGCGUCGCGUGGAAGAGGAGAAGGAGAGGACUCGAAACGUGAAACAAAGAACACUGUAAAAAUAAGGGCACGUAGAUAACCUAGUAUUUAUAUACAGGAAUGAGAUAAAAUCGUGUGAUAAAAUACACAGCCUGUGUGAUAUAUAUUGCAUAGUAUGGCAUCUCAUGACAGCUUUUCAUAUCAUGUAAAGGAUAAUAAGAACAAUCACAAAUGAAUAAAGCUAAACAGUCACAUUUACUGAAACUAAAACUUUUCUCCUAAUGAAUCAUGGUGUAAAUGCUUUGUGGAUUUAUUUCUUAUAACAAUUCAGCAACAUGACAAGAAGUUCACUCCGCUGAUCAACCAAAGACUCGCUGGAAUAAUAAUCAAGGAAACCCUUCUACUGCAACGAAGUAGAACCUUCGUAUUUUACCUUCAUGCGAAGGAGGACUGAUUGCUCAAAGACAAGGUGCGACGACCCGGAGAACAUCUUUAGAGCGGAAAUAUUCAAGGAUGAGGGAGACAGCGACCUCUGGCAACGAUCGAUCUCACCUCCAUGCAGACUACGUGUUCUUUUCCCUGGUGUUUGACUUCAUACGUGGAGAAACAGGAACAAAAAAUAAAUAAAUAAAUAAAUAAAUAAACAAAAACAAUACUAAUGGAAAUGAGCCAAUUCAACAAACAAAUGGAAUAAAACAAAACAAACCCGUAGAUAUAGCGUGUUCUGUGUUUCUUUGUUUUCAUUCGUGUAUGAUUUUCUAAAUGAAAGAUGUUGGUGGUUUGUAUUCCCUUUGUGCUACUGUUCCCAGAAGACAAUGGCAAGAUGAGCUUCCCUGUGGCCACAUAUCCCUUACUUUCCUCUGCCUGUUUCAUUGUACCAGUAUCAAAAUACUUGAUGAACCAAUAUGCCGAACGUCCAUCCGCACAAGGUGUCGUUGUACAAGGUCUGUCCAUUCAUUUGUUUUCGAAACCGUAAGGCAUAAAACUAACCUUGGAUGAUUUCGUGAUUUUUGUUUCUCGGAAAAAAUAAAAGAAUAGAAAGUAGAUUACUUCCUCGUGAUUUUUUUGUUUGUUUUUUUUGUUUUCCCUUUCGGUAUUAGAAGUCCUUUGUCAAGAGAGUUCUAUUUUGGUUUCUUUUGUUAUCGUAGUGGCAUCGAAGCCUUUGCUGCUGAGGCUUCUUAAACUUAGAAUGGUCGAGCGAAAACACGGGCUGUUUGUAACAUUAGGGCAAACGUUAUUAUUCUCGUGAUAAAAAAACACAUAAUCCUUUAUACACCCCCGCGCGCGCGCACACACACACACACACACACACACACACACACACACACAUACAC
rnacentral:lncRNA from 1 species